UACGUAGGGGGCUAGCGUUGUCCGGAAUUAUUGGGCGUAAAGAGCUCGUAGGCGGUUUGUCGCGUCUGCCGUGAAAGUCCGGGGCUCAACUCCGGAUCUGCGGUGGGUACGGGCAGACUAGAGUGAUGUAGGGGAGACUGGAAUUCCUGGUGUAGCGGUGAAAUGCGCAGAUAUCAGGAAGAACACCCGUGGCGAAGGCGGCUUUCUGGGACGGUACUGACGCUGAGACGCGAAAGCGUGGGGAGCGAACAGG
rnacentral:rRNA from 1 species